UACGGGGGGAGCAAGCGUUGUUCGGAUUUACUGGGCGUAAAGGCGCGUAGGCGGCCUGCUAAGUCGAACGUGAAAUCCCUGGGCUCAACCCAGGAACUGCGUCCGAUACUGGUUGGCUUGAAUCCGGGAGAGGGAUGUGGAAUUCCAGGUGUAGCGGUGAAAUGCGUAGAUAUCUGGAGGAACACCGGUGGCGAAGGCGACAUCCUGGACCGGUAUUGACGCUGAGG
rnacentral:rRNA from 1 species